rnacentral:rRNA from 1 species
AACGAACGCUGGCGGCAUGCCUAACACAUGCAAGUCGAACGAGACCUUCGGGUCUAGUGGCGCACGGGUGCGUAACGCGUGGGAACCUGCCCUUAGGUUCGGAAUAACUCCCCGAAAGGGGUGCUAAUACCGGAUAAUUUCUUCGGACCAAAGAUUUAUCGCCUUUGGAUGGGCCCGCGUUGGAUUAGCUAGUUGGUAGGGUAAAAGCCUACCAAGGCGACGAUCCAUAGCUGGUCUGAGAGGAUGAUCAGCCACACUGGGACUGAGACACGGCCCAGACUCCUACGGGAGGCAGCAGUGGGGAAUAUUGGAAAAGGGGCGAAAGCCUGAUCCAGCAAUGCCGCGUGAGUGAUGAAGGCCUUAGGGUUGUAAAGCUCUUUUACCCGGGAUGAUAAUGACAGUACCGGGAGAAUAAGCUCCGGCUAACUCCGUG